rnacentral:rRNA from 1 species
GAUGAACGCUGGCGGUAUGCUUAACACAUGCAAGUCGAACGGACUCUUCGGAGUUAGUGGCGGACGGGUGAGUAACGCGUGAGAAUCUGGCUUUGGGUUCGGGACAACCACUGGAAACGGUGGCUAAUACCGGAUGUGCCGAGAGGUAAAAGAGAAAUUGCCUGAAGAUGAGCUCGCGUCUGAUUAGCUAGUUGGUGAGGUAAAGGCUCACCAAGGCAGCGAUCAGUAGCUGGUCUGAGAGGAUGACCAGCCACACUGGGACUGAGACACGGCCCAGACUCCUACGGGAGGCAGCAGUGGGGAAUUUUCCGCAAUGGGCGAAAGCCUGACGUAGCAAUACCGCGUGAGGGAAGAAGGCUCUUGGGUUGUAAACCUCUUUUCUUAGGGAAGAACAAAAUGACGGUACCUAAGGAAUCAGCAUCGGCUAACUCCGUG